rnacentral:misc_RNA from 1 species
CUUUACCGACGGCGCCCGACUUGCGCAGCAAACAAGCCUCCUGUCGCAAGGCAGUCAGCUGUCUUUCUUCGGUGCAACUUGCGCGUGCGAUUCUCUACUGUCACAAACCGCCGCCCGUGUUUACACCGUGACAAGAUUAAACCGUUUAACGUUGUUCUGCGUACGAUCGGUGCUGAUUAUCCGCCUCGAAAUAGAAAAAAUAGUGAGCAAGCGUCGAGCAGGUAUACGAGCGGUUUUUUCAAGUUUUUUGAAGAGUCUGAACCAGUUUUUCGAAGUUUUGAACUAGUUUUUUGAAGAGUCUGAAGGGCAACUCUAUGGACCAGGAAUCGCUGAUUAGCAUAUUAAUGCGAUGGAAAUUGCGACCUGCACCUUUUCCGCCGCACGACAAAUGCAUACUCGAGACGCCUCGGUGAAAUGCUUGUACCAGGCAUAAUAUGACAUGUAUCCUAAUGAAAAAAUUCGAGAAGACUGUUGAAAUACAUAACAAUAAACCCUGAAAGUUUCGUUUCAA